rnacentral:rRNA from 1 species
GGAGUUAUUAAAAAUUUUAAUUGAAAUCACGCGAAAAUAGUUGAGCUAAAUAAUUAUAAUUAUUAGAUUAUUGUAUGUAGCAUAAUAUAAAUAAAUAAUUAUUUAGGGGUGAUAGGCCUUUCAAAUCUAUAGAUAUCUCGAUUCUUUUAAAAAACAUUAAGUGUAAUGACAACUAAGAAGUGAUAAGGCUUCUUAGCUUCAUAAAUAUUUGUAAAAUAAAUAAUCUUGAUUUGAUCGUUUGAUUUUUAAAAAAUAAAUAUAUAUUUAUAAUAUAUUAUGAUAAAUAAAAAGAAACAUUUUAAUUAAACUUUAAGUUUAAAAUGUAACUAUAAGUAAUUUAAAACAAAUAUUUAAAAUGAACUCGGCAAUUUGCUUUUCAACUGUUUAUCAAAAACAUAGCUAUGUGAAUUUAUUCAUAGUAAUUUCUGCUCAAUGAUAAUUUAAAUAGCCGCAGUACCCUGACUGUGCAAAGGUAGCGAAAUAAUUUGGUUUAUAAUUGAAGCCCAGUAUGAAUGAAAUCUUGGGGAGCAUCUUUAUUUUUUAUAGAUUUUGAAAUUAUUUAAUAAGUGCAAAUCCUUAUAUUAAAACGACAGACGAGAAGACCCUUGAAAUUUUUAUAAAAUAAAUAAGGUCUAUUUUUGUUGGGGCAACAAGGUAACAUGAAAUUUACCGUAAUCAAACAAGAACAUCUAUAUGUGAUAGAAUAAAUUACUCUAGGGAUAACAGCGUAAUUUUAAAAAGUUUGCGACCUCGAUGUUGGACUAGGAAAUCAUUGCUUAGAAAGCAUGAUGUUAAGCUCUGUUCGAGCUA